GGGCGGAUGGCGGAACUGGUAGACGCACCAGACUCAAAAUCUGGCGAAGAAAUUCGUGAGAGUUCGACCCUCUCUCUGCCCA
rnacentral:tRNA from 1 species